rnacentral:tRNA from 1 species
UGGUAGAGCGCUGCGUUCGGGACGCAGAGGCCGCAGGUUCAAGUCCUGUCACCUCGACCA